UGCGUACGCGGAUUAAUAAGUCAGUGGUGAAAUCUCUCGGCUCAACCGGGAAACUGCCAUUGAUACUGUUAAUCUUGAGUUCGGUUGAGGUAGGCGGAAUGUGUAAUGUAGCGGUGAAAUGCUUAGAUAUUACACAGAACACCAAUUGCGUAGGCAGCUUACUAGACCGACACUGACGCUGAGGCACGAAAGCGUGGGUAGCGAACAGGAUUAGAUACCCUGGUAGUCC
rnacentral:rRNA from 1 species